rnacentral:rRNA from 1 species
GAUGAACGCUGGCGGCGUGCCUAAUACAUGCAAGUCGAGCGAACAGAUGAGGAGCUUGCUCCUCUGACGUUAGCGGCGGACGGGUGAGUAACACGUCGAUAACCUACCUAUUAGACUGGGAUAACUUCGGGAAACCGGAGCUAAUACCGGAUAAUCUAUUGAACCGCAUGGUUCAAUAGUGAAGGACGGUUUUGCUGUCACUUACAGAUGGAUCCGCGCCGCAUUAGCUAGUUGGUAAGGUAACGGCCUACCAAGGCAACGAUGCGUAGCCGACCUGAGAGGGUGAUCGGCCACACUGGAACUGAGACACGGUCCAGACUCCUACGGGAGGCAGCAGUAGGGAAUCUUCCGCAAAGGGCGAAAGCCUGACGGAGCAACGCCGCGUGAGUGAUGAAGGUCUUCGGAUCGUAAAACUCUGUUAUUGGGGAAGAACAAAUGUGUAAGUAACUAUGCACGUCUUGACGGUACCUAAUCAGAAAGCCACGGCUAACUACGUG